UAGAGCUACAAAAAUCAUAGAAUAUAAUUGCAAUUAAAUACAUGCAGUAGAAUAGCAUUACUACUUAAUUAAAGCAGAAGGAGAUUCUUUCUUGUGUAUAUAUGGGACUAAAUCAUUCAAAUAUCCUAGGUAUAUAAUAAUUUUGAAUUGGGGAUAAUGCAUGUAAUGUGUUUAUUAUAAAUUCCUCCUAACAUGUAAACCAUGGUGAAAAAGAGAUUCAAAUAAAGAUUUAUGUAUCAAAA
rnacentral:lncRNA from 1 species